UUCGCAAUGCCCGAAAGGGUGACGAUGCGACGCCGCGUGGAGGAUGAAGGCUUUCGGGUUGUAAACUCCUGUCAGGGCAACAGAAGGGGAGGGGAGGAAACCCCCCGACCUUGACUGGGCCCAAAGGAAGCCCUUGCUAACUCCGUGCCAGCAGCAGCGGUAAUACGGAGAGAGCGAGCGUUGUUCGGAAUUACUGGGCGUAAAGGGCACGUAGGCGGGUCCGUAUGUCAGGGGUGAAAUCCCCCGGCCUAACCGGGGAAGGGCCUCUGAAACUGCGGGCCUCGAGUGAAGCAGAGGGGAGUGGAACUCUCGGUGGAGCGGUGAAAUGCGUUGAUAUCGAGGGGAACACCGGCGGCGAAGGCGACUCCCUAUGCUUCUACUGACGCUGAGGUGCGAAAGCCAGGGGAGCGAACGGGAUUAGAUACCCCGGUAGUCCUGGCCCUAAACGGUGGGCACUAAGUAGAGGGGUUUU
rnacentral:rRNA from 1 species